UACCCGCUGAGUUUAAGCAUAUCAAUAAGCGGAGGAAAAGAAACUAACAAGGAUUCCCCUAGUAACGGCGAGCGAACC
rnacentral:rRNA from 3 species